UCCGGCUUAUCACCGGCAGUUUCUCUAGAGUGCCCAACUAAAUGGUGGCAACUAGAGACGAGGGUUGCGCUCGUUGCGGGACUUAACCCAACAUCUCACGACACGAGCUGACGACAGCCAUGCAGCACCUGUGGCGCACCCUCGAAGGUCACACGUUUCCGUGCGCUUGCAGCGCCAUGUCAAGCCCAGGUAAGGUUCUUCGCGUUGCAUCGAAUUAAAGAACAUGUUCCGCUGCUUGUGCGGGCCCCCGUCAAUUCCUUUGAGUUUCAGCCUUGCGGCCGUACUCCCCAGGCGGGGUACUUAAUGCGUUAGCGCCGGCACUCAGGGGGUCGCUCCCCCAAGCACCUAGUACCCAUCGUUUACAGCGUGGACUAC
rnacentral:misc_RNA from 1 species